rnacentral:tRNA from 1 species
CAGUGUGGCCAAGCGGUUAGAGUCCUGGACUAGUAAUCUGGAGGCCCCAAGUUCAAGUCCCGCCCU